rnacentral:rRNA from 1 species
UGGGGGAUAUUGCACAAUGGGGGAAACCCUGAUGCAGCGACGCCGCGUGUAGGAAGACGGUCCUCUGGAUUGUAAACUACUGUCUUCGGGGACGAUAAUGACGGUACCCGAGGAGGAAGCACCGGCUAACUCCGUGCCAGCAGCCGCGGUAAUACGGGGGGUGCAAGCGUUGUCCGGAAUCAUUGGGCGUAAAGCGUUCGUAGGCGGUAUAUCAAGUCUGGUGUUAAAGCCCGGGGCUCAACUCCGGUUCAGCAUCGGAUACUGGUAAACUAGAAUGCGGUAGAGGUAAGGGGAAUUCCUGGUGUAGCGGUGAAAUGCGUAGAUAUCACGAAGAACUCCAAUUGCGAAGGCAGCUUGCUGGACUGUAACUGACGCUGAUGCUCGAAAGUGUGGGUAUCAAACA